rnacentral:siRNA from 1 species
AAGGCAGCCUUAGAUGAAGCAGCA